GUUUUGGCAAAAAGUUUAAGAUCCACAUUUAAUAGCGAGAUUGGCCGAUAAUUCCUGCAGCUGGAGGAAUCUUUCCCUUUCUUUGGUAUUACCGUGACAACCGCGCGAAGUGAAUCCGCCGGAAAUUGGCCUCCAGUCAGGAUGGAGUUCAGACCCCGCAACAAGUGCGUGAGCAGAACUUCUCUGAAAGUACGUAUAUAUGAGACCGGGAGGCCGUCCAUGCCCGGGGCCUUGUUGGUCUUGGCAGGUUUGAGGGCCUAUGUUAGCUAGUGUUGCUAUUUUGUGUGUUAGUUCUGUCAUGUGUAUGGUAAAGUUUCUUAUGUGUUGAGUGCAGUGUUUGAUGAAAUGUCCCCAUGUCACGUAUUUGUGCGCACGGUUAGCGGGGCCACGUCAGGUGUUUGAGUUGUUUGUGUUACAGACUCCACGUCUGUUAGCGUGUUUUUGUUGAGCUUCCAUUGAAAGUCACGUGCUUGGAGUAGGGGCAAUUUAAACUCGAUUGAGACUGGGGCGUGGUCCGACACCCUGAAUCCCUAUAAAAGAGGAGAUUAGGAGGGGAAGGAAUGCCUGUGCCUGGAAAAUAUAGUCAAUUCUAUAAUAUUGGUUAUGUGCCGCAGAAUAGCAUGUGUAGUCUCUAGCGUCUGGGUGCGCCACCCUCCAGCAAUCGGCUAAUCCCAGUCUGUUAAGAACCUGCUUGACCCGUCGGAUACAGUGCAUUGGGAUGGCGCUAAUAACUCUAGGGAGUCCAUUCAGGGGUCCAGUGGUAG